UUUGACGGGUAUGGUACCAAUCGAGUGCACAUCGAUGACGUAGUUUGGUGCCUCCGUGCGUCGCACAUGCGAUGGUACCAAUAUUAUCGUGUGCUUAUCGCAUUAAAUAAGAUUGCCAUCCGUGUUUUUUUUAGUUAAGCGUAAUGAAUAAGAGCGUUGGUGCGGGCGUGUACUUCCAACAGUGAUUAUAAUUAGGUAAAAGACCGCAAUUACGACUAGAACAGUUGACAUUGGAGUAAAUAAGUACAGUUUUAAGGUCUUAAGAUUAAGAGACAGUUAAAUGAAAUUAUAACUCACAACUGAACAUACAAAUAAUAAAUGUCAACAUUAUGCCUCAGUGUGCAGUAAUUGGCUGUAACAGUACCCACAGAAGAACCAAAGGAAGGUCAAUCAAAUACCAUCGAUUUCCUGGCGAUAGUGGUAUAAGGAAUUAUUGGUUGAAUGCUUGUGGAAAGAAUUUGAAUAAUUAUUUGACGGCGAGGAUAUGUUCUAGACAUUUCAGUAAAAGUAAUUACGAAAGGGACGUCCAACACGAGAUUCUCGGUUUGCCGACCAGAUCCCGUUUAAAAAAGGGAGCAAUUCCAGAUCUAAACUUACCCAGGGAUUUUUUGUUAGAAGAAAAGCAAGAACUAAAUAGCGAAUUUGCUGUUCUAUAUGCAGUUGGGCUUGUUCCUGCAAAUAAAGCUGAUGACUCGGGAGCUGUGCCCGAAGAUAGAAAUAAAAUGCAGAUCAUGGAAGAAGUGAAAGAGGGUUCUGAAACGAAUUUACCAUCCUCGCCUGGUCAUGCCGACCAAGGCCAAAGCGAAUUUCAAGUGGUAGAAGUGAAAGCUGAAAAUACAAUGGAAAAUGGAAACUCUGAAGAAGCCGCUGAAAAAGAAAACAGUAUAACAAUGGAAGAGGUUGUCAUUAAAGAAGAGAAUAGCGACAAAGAAUGCGAGGAAGAACUGGAAAACAGGAUCGAGGAUAAUAGUAGCAAUCAGAGUUCUUCAUCCGAAAGUUCAAAUAAACGACUGUAUGAUAAUGGUGAAACUUCUGUAAAAAGAUUGAGGACAGAUAUAGAGGAAAACUAUAAUACCCGAGAUAAAAUUAUGAAUGAACUUAUUGAAAUGGAAAGUUGUGACACUACAGAACAAAUACAAACUUUCAGUGAACAGAUUUUAUCAGAAAUUAAGACGUUAAAUGAGCUUAUAAAAGAAAAGGAAAGAGAAUGGAAUCACUUGCUUCACAUGAAGAAAUUAAAAGAAGAGCUCUUAAUCAGAUUGCAACGUAAAAAACAAACAGUCAUGUUUAAUGAGACUGAUCAAAACGACUUACAAUUAGAAAUAAAUGGUAACUAUAUAAUGGUUUUUCACAAAAAUCAAAUUUUUAUUGUUUUUUUUUUAGGACAAAGUCAAAUAAAAUCAAACCAAAAAGCAAACAUGUUACGAGAACUUAGAGUGGCGAAUUUAGAAAAACUAAAACAAAGACAUUUGGCAUUACAAGGUUCAAUCGCGCAGAAGCCUAUGUUAGAUGUUCAGUCAAUUAUAGCAGAAUAUAGACAAAGGCAUCCAGAAAAUGUGCCGCGAAGAGGCAGGCGAAUACGUCAAUCGCAACUUGAUAGCAAAAGUUUGAUGACAAACCAAAGAUCUGCAUUAGAAACACCUCUAGAAUCCAGAUUAUCUAGUAAUCUUAAUGGGUCCUUGGACGAUUCUCAAUCAUCAUUUCAAGGAUCUGGAAACUGUGGCGGCCCAGAACUAAGGCAUUAUAAGGACAUGUUGGUACAUGUCGAAAAACUGACUCAAACAGAAAAGUCUGAGCUGCAAAGGCAACUUCAGAAUGCAGUAAAACCCCCACCACCCUAUCCAGAAGUAACGGUACAUCCUGUCACUAGUACCAGUUCGGUUGCACCGACGAACUCCUUACUGCAUGGUAUAUUGACAAAAGCUCCAAAGAGACAAAGCAGCCAAGCGAAUGGUCAAAGUUCAGUAGCGGCGAAUGAUGACAAAAUCGCCUUUAGUCCUACCUUAGCGAGGUUACUAACGGCUCCAGAAAAAUCCAGUAGUAACCUUCUAACCUCGACUCCAAGUUUAAUGCUUGGAACUAGUCUAUCAAACCAAAGCACUCAAAUGUCUGUUCCUGAAAUGUUCCCUGGAAGCAAGGCGCGAAAUGAAAUAACCAUUACCCCUCUAGGAAAUGAGUAUGGCGUAGGAAAGAAAAUUGAUUCGGUGGAUGAUGAACUUGAAGACCAACCAGACCGUCUUGUUAUAGACGAAACCAAUGAUUCGAUUAGGCCAAAAGACGAAACUAUAUCAGAAGAUGGGGAAGAAGUUCCUCAAUGUCAAGGUUGUAACCAGAAAUCUGCACAAUUUGUUUGCGCUGGUUGCGGCAAUCAGUGGUAUUGUAGUCGCGAAUGUCAAGUAACAGCGUGGGAUGAUCAUUCGGAGGUGUGUUCCGGAUAAAUCACUUAAAAAUCGUAAUGAGAAACCGAAAUAUGUGUUCAAGAUAUAUAAAUUCAUCAAGUGAUCGAUGAUCGAUUGUCUGUCAUUGUGUAGAUGCAGAUAUCUGUCAACUUUUUAAAAACGUAAAGAAAGUUUGGAAAUAGAACCAAACGGGAAAUACCUGUUUAAUUGCGAUUUUAAAGGUGAAAAUUAUUUGUUUUAUAGUGCGAGUGUACUACGGUUUUGGAAAAAUAAAAAUUCCUAACAGAUUAACCUGAGCGAAAAAUGGUAGAAAUAGAAGUUACACAUACUUAGAUCAAAAUAGCAGGAACUAAAUUUUCCCAAGAGCGGAGGGAUGGUGGUGAAAAAGAGUGUAAAACGGUUUUUCGACUUUUUUUUUUAAAUUUUAAGUUAAUUAGGUUUUCGAAAAAAAAGAUUUUUUUGGGUAUUUUUGGGUAUUUUUCAAGCUAUGCGAGAACCCUUUUUUUGAUGGUUUAGAUACUUCAUCCGGCGCUUAUUUUUUUUUGUAAAGACUUCAACUUUCAUAUGAAAUUAUAAAAUAUACCUCUUUAUGCAAAAAAAAUCGUUUAUUUUGCAAAAAAAAAGUACUGAUGUUGAUUUUUUCAGCAUACUGAAAAGAGUGUUAUUAUUCAUUGAAAUCCCUAUUAUAAAUUUAUACAAAAUAUAAAUAAUAGUGUUAUUUGUAAACUUAUGUUAUUAAAUAAUAUUCAUUCGUUUAAAAUAUGAAACGAUAAUUUAUUAAAAAAAAAUCAAUAAUAAUAAAAUUUUCAUUUAUUUAACACGUUAGCCGCCUAGAAUUAAUAGUAUUUCACUACAUGCCGCAUGUUCCGUUGGCUGUCAUAGGUAUUAGUUAUUUACAUGCCGCUUGGCCGCGCGCGGUCAUUAUCUGGCUUGACUUAAAACAUUUGUUGGUCGCUGGCGGACAAAUCCCUGUAUAAACUACUAUUAGUAGGAAUGGCUUGGCAAAUAACGAAUGAUACAGUCAUAACUAAUGUUAUUUUAGGUGCAUAGAGUAGUAAAAAUUAAAAAUAUUAAAAAAUGUAGAAAGCUUUCAAAAAAUAAACGUAUUUAACACCAAAGUUGCAAAUUAAUAGUAGACGUUUUUAAGACAAUCAAAAUUUAUUAAUUGCUUACAAACCCGUUUGAAUAAAAGAAAAUGGAAAAGAAAAAAAUAUAUAUUUAUAUGAAAGUAUCAAAAGUUAUUAAAAAACGCAAAUAAAAACAGGUAUUCCUAAAAAAAAUGGUUUGACGUCGCAAGUAUCACAAAAUGUGGUUACGUUCUUCGCUUUUGCGGCUUCAGCUGUUCCUCCGGCUGCUAAUAGCCUCUUGUAGCAUUCUAUACACCUCUUUCUAAUCUUUCGAUUCCUUUUACAUUUGUCUAUUGUUUCCUUCAUUAUACAGGGUGUUUGGUGCAUCGUGUGCCAAACUGAAUUCAGUGAUUGGGGAGGUCUUUGGCUACCUCUUCAGCCCUCAUAAAAAAAUCUUGCUCAAACAGAUUUUUUUAUACUGGGUUUUAAUGGUUUUGAGUGAACAUUUAUUUAAAAAACAUUCAAAAUUUAAAAGUUGUUAACUUUUACUAAAUUUUAUUUUCGACCUUUUAUUUGCAAUGUUUGACGCUUCUUUUGAAACUAAAAUUACCCGCCAGCGACAUCUAGUUUUUUUUUACAGCGCUG
rnacentral:misc_RNA from 1 species